rnacentral:rRNA from 1 species
AAGCAAUAAGUAAUCCACCUGGGGAGUACGGCCGCAAGGUUGAAACUCAAAGGAAUUGACGGGGGCCCGCACAAGCGGAGGAACAUGUGGUUUAAUUCGAUGAUACGCGAGGAACCUUACCUGGGCUUAAAUGUAGAGUGCAUUUUCUAGAGAUAGAAAUUCCCUUCGGGGCUUUCUGCAAGGUGCUGCAUGGUUGUCGUCAGCUCGUGCCGUGAGGUGUCGGGUUAAGUCCCAUAACGAGCGCAACCCUUAUCGUUAGUUGCCAUCUGGUAAAGCAGGGGACUCUAGCGAAACUGCCACCGUAAGGUGAGAGGAAGGUGGGGAUGACGUCAAAUCAGCACGGCCCUUAUGUCCAGGGCUACACACGUGUUACAAUGGCCGGUACAGAGGGCAGCUACCUGGUGACAGGAUGCUAAUCUCGAAAACCGGUCUCAGUUCGGAUCGAAGUCUGCAACUCGACUUCGUGAAGCUGGAUUCGCUAGUAAUCGCGCAUCAGCCAUGGCGCGGUGAAUACGUUCCCGGGCCUUGUACACACCGCCCGUCAAGCCAUGGAAGCUGGGGGUGCCUGAAGUCCGUAACCGAAAGGAGCGGCCUAGGGUAAAACUAGUGACUGGGGCUAAGUCGUAACAAGGUAAGUAUU